rnacentral:rRNA from 1 species
GACGGGGGGGGCAAGCGUUGUCCGGAAUCACUGGGCGUAAAGCGCACGUAGGCGGGACGGUGCGUCGGUGCUGAAAGCGCCAGGCUUAACCUGGCGAGGCGUGCCGAUACGACCGACCUCGAGGCAGACAGAGGGUGGCGGAAUUCCGGGUGUAGUGGUGAAAUGCGUAGAGAUCCGGAGGAACGCCGGUGGCGCAAGCGGCCACCUGGGUCUGACCUGACGCUGAGGUGCGAAAGCGUGGGGAGCAAACCGG